ACCUCAACUUGAGCUACAAACCUUGCAAAAAUUGUUUUUACUGUAAUAACAUGAUGGAUAUUUCCUUAUUUUAAAAACAAUUGUUAGGCAAAUCACACCAGACCUAUUCUGCUAGAAUUCAUGUCACAAGUGUCAAGCAAUGACCAUUUUUCCAACAAGAGGGAAUCUAACUAGUGAUGGUAAUUUAUUGCUAUUACCAUGGGGGUUACCAUUGACCAGAAACUGAACAGGAUCAGCCGCUUAAAUAUUGUGGCCAUAAGAGAAGGUCAGAGGUUAGGGAUCCUGUGGCAAAUAAUUCAUCACCUCCUUCCCCAAAGCAUAUCUCCAUCUAUAAAUCAGGAGUGUGAUGAAAUGCUCUUCCUACUUGACUGGAUGAGUUCAGUUCUGACAAUACUCUCACUUAACAGCACCCAAGACAAGGCAGUCUACGUGGUUGGCAUCCCAACCAUCAUUUUCAAAACUCUCUCCCUCCACCAUUAGUGGCAGCAGUGUGUACUUCUACAAAAUGCACUGCAGCGACUCGCUAAGGCUUCAAUAUACCACCUUUCAAAUGUGCAGCCUUUUUCCACCAAGAAGAACAAGGACAGCAGAUAGAUGGGAACCCCUGUAAGCUGUCCUCCAAACUACAUACCAUCCUGACUCAGAACCAUAUCACCAUCUCUUCACUGUCAGCAGUAUAGAGAUCCCUUGGGGUUCCAUUGCUUUGUAAUUAGAAGCUGGAAUAAAAAUGGGUACAGGCUGUCAUGCAUCAGCAAUAUGGACGGCACCCCAAUGAACUUUGUUAUGCCAGGGAACAGAACUGUGGAUAAGAUUGGAGUAAAGGCAAUUUUAGUUAAGACUAAUGGCCAUGAAAAGAGUUGAUUCGCUGUGGUACUUGGUUGUAUGGCAGAAGGAACAAAGUUAAAGCCUAUGGUGAUUUUUAAGUGGAAAAUACUGUUGCCCAAACAGAAAUUUCCAAAAGGCGUUGUUGUCCUUAUCCAUGAAAAAGGAUAGAUGGAUGAAGGUGGCUGCACGACUUGGAUUAGGGUGGUCUGGAAUAUGCGACCAGGUAGACUUAGAAAGGGAAAAAGCUUACUGGUUUGGGAUAUGUUCAGAUCACAUAGAGUGAAAAGUGUUAUCACUGAUGUUUGAACCAACAAGACUGCAAUGAUUCAUGGGGGCCUUACAAGCAUGGUGCAGCCACUGGAUAUUAGCAUAAAUAAACCCUUUAAGGACUUAGUACGGAAGAAAUGAGACACAUAGAUGCUAGAAGGGGAAAAUCGCUUCACAAAAGGUGGCAACAUACAUGCUCCAUUACUUGCAAUUGUAUGUGAGUGGAUUGUUGAGUCCUGGAAGGAAAUGUAAAAUUAAAUUGUGAAAGCCUUAAAAAAUUGUGAAAUUUCUGAUGCUUUAGGUGGUACAGAGGAUGACUAUUUGUGGUUAGAUGGAAAUGAUGGCAAAUCAAUUGAUGAUCACCUUUGAGAGUGCAGUUGAAGAUGAUCCAUACGAUGAUAUGCUUGACCCAGAUGACUAGAAUGAAUUAUUCAGUGGUCCAACUGAUGAGGGCAGUGAAUUUGAAGGAUUCUAAUGGAGUUUUGCAUGUACCGAAAGAGAUUUGGCUCUUGUUUCUCCAUUUUUGACUCACGCCAAAUAUGAAUUUCAUGCCCUUGAAAACAAUACCUCGUGUAUAAGUCGACCCUCUAAUUUCAGCCUUAAAAGAAAAGGUCUUCAAAACUCUACCUAUAUGUAUGCAUGAAAAACUAGAUGACAACAACUCAUGACUUGAGAGUCAGAAUGGUUACCUGGCGGCUGGAGUUCACUGGCAUCUUCUCCAGAAAUCUGUCUUGGCCAGCAUUCCUCAACAUCUAAGGGCAAUGAACACUUGCACUCUCCAUCCACAGAGAUUAUUAUUGGCAAAGCACCAGCAUCAGCAUGGCACACAUCAGACAAAGGAAUGAUACAGAUCAGCACUUCAUUGCUGCACUAUCGAACAGGCAUGCAUCUUUUCAUCGGAAUAGGAUGCAUUUUUGGGCUCUUAGCUUGUUUUCUUAGCACUCGCUCAAUUUGCAAAUUACUUGGAUGCUCACAGCAUGUCUGCUUUGCCUAUUAGCGCAGACAGAAAGUUUGUAAUGUUUGCCAGUAAUGGACAGUCAAAGGGGUGAAUAUGUUGCUCUGUGAAUCUGAGAUACCUUAACGCUACAUCUACAGUAGGUGGCAGCAGCUUGCAGGCAGAAACUCUACACUUUGCUGAUGAUACAAAAAUUGGAGGGAGGGCAACUAGUGAGGAUGUCAUCAAGUCUGCAAAGGGAUAUAGGCAGGUUAAGCAAGUGCAGAAAUUUUUUUUGGAUGGAAUAUAAUGUGGGAAAAUGUGAGAUGAUACAUUUUGUCAGGAAGAAUAGAGGUGCUGAACAAUAUUUAAAUUGAGAAAUAUGCAAAACGGAUGGCUUUAGUAGUCCUCGUGUAUAAAUCACAAACAUUUAGAAUCUAUGUUCAGCAGGUAACAGGGAAGAUAAAUGGAAUGUUGGCCUUUAUUUCAAAGGGAAUGGAAUAUAAAAAUAAGGA